UAGGGAAUCUUCGGCAAUGGACGAAAGUCUGACCGAGCAACGCCGCGUGAGUGAAGAAGGUUUUCGGAUCGUAAAAACUCUGUUGGUAGAGAAGAACGUUGGUGAGAGUGGAAAGCUCAUCAAGUGACGGUAACUACCCAGAAAGGGACGGCUAACUACGUGCCCG
rnacentral:rRNA from 1 species